rnacentral:rRNA from 1 species
AUUGAACGCUGGCGGCAGGCCUAACACAUGCAAGUCGAGCGGAUGAAGGGAGCUUGCUCCUGGAUUCAGCGGCGGACGGGUGAGUAAUGCCUAGGAAUCUGCCUGGUAGUGGGGGAUAACGUCCGGAAACGGGCGCUAAUACCGCAUACGUCCUGAGGGAGAAAGUGGGGGAUCUUCGGACCUCACGCUAUCAGAUGAGCCUAGGUCGGAUUAGCUAGUUGGUGGGGUAAAGGCCUACCAAGGCGACGAUCCGUAACUGGUCUGAGAGGAUGAUCAGUCACACUGGAACUGAGACACGGUCCAGACUCCUACGGGAGGCAGCAGUGGGGAAUAUUGGACAAUGGGCGAAAGCCUGAUACAGCCAUGCCGCGUGUGUGAAGAAGGUCUUCGGAUUGUAAAGCACUUUAAGUUGGGAGGAAGGGCAGUAAGUUAAUACCUUGCUGUUUUGACGUUAACAACAGAAUAAGCACCGGCUAACUUCGUG